rnacentral:rRNA from 1 species
UAGUAAUCGCGGAUCAGCAUGCCGCGGUGAAUACGUUCCCGGGCCUUGUACACACCGCCCGUCACACCAUGGGAGCCGGUAAUACCCGAAGUCAGUAGUCCAACCACGUGAGGACGCUGCCGAAGGUAGGAUUGGCGACUGGGGUGAAGUCGUAACAAGGUAGC